rnacentral:rRNA from 1 species
CCGAGAAAAGCCUCUAGCGAGGACACACACGGCCCGUACCCCAAAACCGACACAGGUGGUCAGGUAGAGAAUACCGAGGCGUACGAGUGAACUAUGGUUAAGGAACUCGGCAAAAUACCCCCGUAACUUCGGGAGAAGGGGGACCCCAACACCGUCAACCGGCGUGCCCGGGGCAGCGGGAUGGGGUGGCACAAACCAGUGAGAAGCGACUGUUUAUUAAAAACACAGGUCCGUGCGAAGUCGCAAGACGAGGUAUACGGACUGACGCCUGCCCGGUGCUGGAAGGUUAAGAGGACCCGUCAAUCCCGCAAGGGGUGAAGCGGAGAAUUUAAGCCCCAGUAAACGGCGGUGGUAACUAUAACCAUCCUAAGGUAGCGAAAUUCCUUGUCGGGUAAGUUCCGACCUGCACGAAUGGCGUAACGACUUCUCAACUGUCUCAACCAUAGACUCGGCGAAAUUGCAUUACGAGUAAAGAUGCUCGUUACGCGCGGCAGGACGAAAAGACCCCGGGACCUUCACUACAACUUGGUAUUGGAGUUCGAUACGGUUUGUGUAGGAUAGGUGGGAGACGUAUG